GACGAACGCUGGCGGCGUGCUUAACACAUGCAAGUCGAACGGAAAGGCCCUGCUUUUGUGGGGUGCUCGAGUGGCGUACGGGUGAGUAACACGUGAGUAACCUGCCCUUGACUUUGGGAUAACUUCAGGAAACUGGGGCUAAUACCGGAUAGGAGCUCCUGCUGCAUGGUGGGGGUUGGAAAGUUUCGGCGGUUGGGGAUGGACUCGCGGCUUAUCAGCUUGUUGGUGGGGUAGUGGCUUACCAAGGCUUUGACGGGUAGCCGGCCUGAGAGGGUGACCGGCCACAUUGGGACUGAGAUACGGCCCAGACUCCUACGGGAGGCAGCAGUGGGGAAUAUUGCACAAUGGGCGGAAGCCUGAUGCAGCAACGCCGCGUGCGGGAUGACGGCCUUCGGGUUGUAAACCGCUUUCGCCUGUGACGAAGCGUGAGUGACGGUAAUGGGUAAAGAGGCACCGGCUAACUACGUG
rnacentral:rRNA from 1 species